rnacentral:misc_RNA from 1 species
AACCAUAGAAACCUGCGGAGUACCUGCGGAGGGAUCAUUACACAAUACAAUAUGAAGGCUGUCCGCAGCUGGAGUAUUUUAUUACCCUUGUCUUUUGCGCACUUGUUGUUUCCUGGGCGGGUUCGCUCGCCACCAGGACCACCAAAUAAACCUUUUUUAUGCAGUUGCAAUCAGCGUCAGUACAAACAAUGUAAAUCAUUUACAACUUUUAGCAAUGGAUCUCAGAUCGGAAGAGCACAC